AGCGAACGUUAGCGGCGGGCCUAACACAUGCAAGUCGAACGCGAAAGGUCUUCGGACUGAGUAGAGUGGCGCACGGGUGAGUAACACGUAGGUAAUCUACCCUUUGGCGGGGGAUAACGUUCCGAAAGGAGCGCUAAUACCGCAUAAGACCACGGAGUCUCCGGACGCUGUGGGAAAAGGUGGCCUCUUCUUGAAAGCUACCACCGAAGGAUGAGCUUGCGUCCCAUCAGCUAGUUGGUAAGGUAAUGGCUUACCAAGGCGAAGACGGGUAGCUGGUUUGAGAGAAUGAUCAGCCACACUGGCACUGGAACACGGGCCAGACUCCUACGGGAGGCAGCAGUGAGGAAUAUUGGGCAAUGGGCGAAAGCCUGACCCAGCCACGCCGCGUGAGUGAUGAAGGCCCUCGGGUCGUAAAGCUCUGUGGAGAGGGACGAAAACCCUGGUUUCAAAUAGGCUCCAGGCUUGACGGUACCUCUUUAGCAAGCACCGGCUAACUCUGUGCCAGCAGCCG
rnacentral:rRNA from 1 species